AUGAAUAAAGCAGUUGGAAUUUUGGAAAUGACAAUGGGUAUAUUUAUUACAUUAACUAAAUCUUAUUUAUUUCUCUCCAUUUCUAUCACAAUAAGAUGGACUUUACCGAGGAUGAGAAUGGAUCUCUCACUUCCGACGCGAAUAGAUUUUUUUAUUUCGAAAUAA
rnacentral:rRNA from 1 species